UUUAAAAAUCUCCUCUAAAAUCCCUUAUUAUCCUCUAAAAAAUGGAAUAUUUGUUUAAAUCUUCUUUUUAACUUUUUUUAUUUCUUGAUGGAAUGUUCUAUGUUACAAAUUCCUAAUCUGCAAAACUGGUUAAUGUCGUAAAGGGCAUUGGGUUGUAAAAAAUCAAUUUAGGAAAUCGAUGUCAUCAUUGUUGUAGAUAGUUUUAUAUAUUGUUAUAUAUUUCAUGUUAUGUAAAACUUCUUUAACAUAUAUAGAUUUAUAUUACAUAGACACCCAAAAAUUGAGACAUAUGUUGUCAUCUAUUCCAAAUGUUUUAAAAAAUUACCUUUAAGUAUAAGUGUUUGUGAAACUACUGGCAACCUGCUUGUAUGGCAAGAUAUAAAAGUCUCAUUAACCAAAGUUUCAGCCUAUGCUGAUGUAAUUUUGAAGUUGUGCAAGGGGGCAAGGAAUUUAGACGUUAUAGUACUUCACAGAAACUAAUCUCAAUAUACUUCAAGAAUUGAUAACAAAAAUAACUUUCAGAAGAUUACCAAUACUUUCUUCCUGCCAUCUUUAAAAUGUUUGAAAAAUUAAUUUACUGUGGAUGAGUGAAAUAAAAACGUUGUUUAAGAAGAAUUUUUACUAAAUUUAUAAAGUGUUACUUUAUAAGGCAUAAAAUUGGCAGUAAUUUUUGUUUGACAAUUGCUGUUUUCACAAUUUUUUUUAGACUUAAUCACUUUUGAUUCAAUUCAAUUUAUUAAAAAGUAUAAAACAGUUUUAGACUUUAACGGUUGAAAUUAUUUUUUAAACUUCGUUGAAGAAACUGACAUUGCUCUAGCAUAAAUUGAGAUCGACCUGAUGAAAGAUGGUAUUAUUUAUAUAUGUGAUAAUUAAUAAAAGACAAUUAGUUUUUAAAU